rnacentral:sRNA from 10 species
AAGGGAAAAUAGGUGGAAAUUCAAAAAUCAAGUGAAAAAAGGUGGUGAGUCAAUUGUUUCGGGUAAGAGACUGCACCCGAGGGCGGAAGAUAGGAGUAUUUCUACUCCUAAUACUGCUCGGGGAAUUCCAUAGUU